GGUUGUUGCUCAGUGGAAGAAUGCUUGCCUAGCAUUCAUGAGGCACUGGGUUCUAUUCUCAGCACCA
rnacentral:tRNA from 1 species